GGGGUCUUUUGUGUUGUCUAAUGGCUUGAAUUUACCUGUGUACGAUACAUUUUUUCAGUAGAAUAAUGCAGAUCUGAUGAUAUUUCCAGUUUGAUGGCUCUGUGGUUGUAUUUUCUUUUUUCUUUAUUGGAUGAGAUUAUUUAGAAUAGCAUAUAAUCCUUUUUAUUAUGUCAAUCUGGUAUAGAUCUAGUGGGUGUUCAUUUUGUAUUUAUCAGUUAUGGGACUCGUAA
rnacentral:misc_RNA from 1 species